GAUGAACGCUGGCGGCGUGCCUAAUACAUGCGAGUCGAGCGAACAGACGAGGAGCUUGCUCCUCUGACGUUAGCGGCGGACGGGUGAGUAACACGUGGAUAACCUACCUAUAAGACUGGGAUAACUUCGGGAAACCGGAGCUAAUACCGGAUAAUAUAUUGGACCGCAUGGUUCAAUAGUGAAAGACGGUUUUGCUGUCACUUAUAGAUGGAUCCGCGCCGCAUUAGCUAGUUGGUAAGGUAACGGCUUACCAAGGCAACGAUGCGUAGCCGACCUGAGAGGGUGAUCGGCCACACUGGAACUGAGACACGGUCCAGACUCCUACGGGAGGCAGCAGUAGGGAAUCUACCGCAAUGGGCGAAAGCCUGACGGAGCAACGCCGCGUGAGUGAUGAAGGUCUUCGGAUCGUAAAACUCUGUUAUUAGGGAAGAACAAAUGUGUAAGUAACUAUGCACGUCUUGACGGUACCUAAUCAGAAAGCCACGGCUAACUACGUGCCAGCCGCCGCAGUAAAAC
rnacentral:rRNA from 1 species